rnacentral:rRNA from 1 species
UACAGGAGGUCCCGAGCGUUGUUCGGAUUCAUUGGGCGUAAAGGGUGCGUAGGCGGCGGGGAAAGUCUGAUGUGAAAUCCUGGGGCUCAACCCUGGAACUGCAUUGGAUACUUCCUUGCUAGAGUACUGGAGAGGAAACUGGAAUUUACGGUGUAGCAGUGAAAUGCGUAGAGAUCGUAAGGAAGACCAGUGGCGAAGGCGAGUUUCUGGACAGUUACUGACGCUGAGGCACGAAGGCCAGGGGAGCAAACGGG